UUUGUGCCUGUGAUUAAAGCAAACCUCUAUAGAGCAGGCCCUCAGGCCAACCCCGAGACUCCCCUGACCACCUCUAGUCAUUUUGUUUCCUAACCUGCCCCUCCCAGUGUCCUGAGGCCCAACCUGUUGCCAACCAUGACCUGGCCGAGUUUCUUGCUGGCCCCCAUUUUGUCCUUUUCAGAAGGCCAGCAGAACCCAGCUAACAGAGCUAGUGCUUACAGGGAGAAGGGCCUCAAAGGUGGGGUAGACAGGAUGUUGAACUCCAAAGUCGGUUAAAGUUAAGAGGGAAAAGUACCACUGCAAUCUACAGAGGCAGGUUCAGAAUUUGGAAAUUCAGGUUUCCUGGAGAAUCCCUCGGGCGGAAGUUCACACCUCUGGCAAAGGCCUCAUGACACUAUGGAAAGCUCACAGGUUUCGGUUCUUAUUCUGCGGUGAUCUGUCAGUGUUCAAAGUCAGUUGACCAACAUCAGCUGUGUUGUGCAUGACUAACUCUUAGGAAGGAGGUAACUGAAGCCAGUUUUGCAGACAUGAACCAACGGCCAGUAGAAGUGUUCUGGACAUUGGUGCAUGAGUCCGUCCCACUGAGGUGGACUGAAACGCCGUGAAAGGAAAAAAACCAAGUGGCCUAAAGAUACACCUUUAGUGGACGCUGGACAGCAUUGCAGCAAGAGCCUAUGACAGAGUCUUUUUCCAUCCUGAAGUCAGGAUCCACUGGAUAAAGUUUAUCAAGAGGACUUCGUCUUCUUAGUAUGUGAUUUCCAGAAAUGUGGACAUUGAAGGAGAGCACAUAUCCUCUUAACAUUUUCAACUGUGAUGCUCUUCCAAUUGCACCCACAGCUCCCUGUCCCUUGCCACUCCAGUCUAUUCUCCACAAUGCA
rnacentral:lncRNA from 1 species